rnacentral:rRNA from 1 species
GAGCCCGCACAAGCAGUGGAGUAUGUGGUUUAAUUCGAUGCAACGCGAAGAACCUUACCAGGACUUGACAUCCUAAGAAAGCCGAGUAAAGUUGGCCGUGCCCUUCGGGGAACUUAGAGACAGGUGGUGCAUGGUUGUCGUCAGCUCGUGUCGUGAGAUGUUGGGUUAAGUCCCGCAACGAGCGCAACCCCUACGGUUAGUUGCUACGCAAGAGCACUCUAGCCGGACUGCCGUUGACAAAACGGAGGAAGGUGGGGACGACGUCAAAUCAUCAUGCCCCUUACGUUCUGGGCUACACACGUACUACAAUGGCGUAAACAAAGGGGAGCGAAGGAGCGAUCCGGAGCAAAUCUCAAAAAUACGCCCCAGUUCAGAUUGCAGGCUGCAACUCGCCUGCAUGAAGUUGGAAUUGCUAGUAAUCGCGGAUCAGAAUGCCGCGGUGAAUACGUUCCCGGGCUUU